AGCCAGAACUAGCCCUAAAUGAAGACAGUGUAUGCUGCUGGCGGCUGUAUUCUCCUCAUUCUGAUUUCAACAAGUAGUCGCCAGCCAGAGGAGCAUUAGAAGGCCUUUGUUUCCACCUCUGGAUUUCUCCUGAACAUCGUACUUCACUUCCAAUAAUCUACUAAAGAGGCUGAGAUUUCUCUUCCGUACUCCAUACUCCUAAAAUUAAGAGAAGGAAACUCCAAGGGUUCAAUUUCAAUUAAAAUAUUCAAAAGACCAAAGUAAGUAAUGUAAGUAAACACUAUGCAUCAGUGAAACUACAAGAUGAACAGGCUGAGUGAGAAGUAAUGUCAUUCCUUCCUGAAGUUCAAAAUCAUCUCUUUUAAGAUGUUUGAAUGGGACAUGGGACACAUGGGAGGGAGUAUCUCUUUCCCUGUCUUCCAUAAUUCCUGGAUGCUGGUCCUUAAGGAAAGGAGAACAUUCUUCAUUUAAAUGCCCUCAGGCUGUUGGCCUCAUUGGACUCUUAGGCAGGAAAUCAAAUAAGCCUGGCUGGUAGCAAGACUUCAUAAGUGGCCUCCUGCUAUAACGUUAUUUGCAGCCUUUUGAAAACACCCAUGUCUCUCCUAUGUUUGUAGACCACACAGGCUGUCACAAAGUGCCCUGUGUUCCAACCCCAAAUAUUGCUAGGCAUUUUUUGAGCAUUCUGAGUUCUGCUGGGCCUUUGUGCUUUUGCAUAUGCCAUUUCCACUGCCUGGGCUGCUCUCUCGUGUUCUUUUUUCCUUUUCUCACUUGGUUACUUCCUACUUUUCUUAUAGCCCUAAAAUCAAACCUGUUUUUCUUUGAGAAAACUUCCGAACAUUUCCUAAGCAGAGCUCUCUAUUGGUCUCUCCCCCCACCUCAGUUUGUCAUGUAGCAGAUGAUAUUUCUGACCCUGAACUAGACCCUGAGUUCCUUGAGGGUAAAAACUGUACCUUAUUCAUCGUUGUGACCUAAUGUCUUUCUUUACACCCUUCACUCCUGACUCUUCUCCCGUACUGCUGCCUGGCAGAAUCCCACAUACACAGUAGGUACUUAAUUAAUAUUGAUUAAAUUAACGAGUGAACAUAGCCAGUCCAUGUGAACAUAAUUGGUCUUGAAAAGUUUGGAGGGAGGAAGGCAGCCUCUAAAUCUGGAAAGGGAACUUGAAGAAGGGAAGCUUAUAACUUCAGCUGCUCAUUUUCUAGGACUUGGCACCAACUGGGUAAAAUGAACUAAGUCAUGCAUUUCACCUAUCUUUUUCCUUUCCGUCUAUUUAUAGCUACUCUGUUCAGGUACAUGAUAAGCCAGGUGAUGUGAGAAAUUCGCAAUAUACCAUCCUUCUCCCCCAAAUAACUGUGAGCAUGGUCCAUUUUAUCUAGUUUCAUAUUUACAAUUAUUAAAAGAAAGACAGAUAUUAGCAUUAAAAUAAAAUCAGGAUUGGCAUUCCUGUUGUGGCUCAGCAGAUUAAGAACCCAACUAGUACCCAUGAGGAUGUGGGUUCAAUCCCCGGCCUCUCUCAGCGAUUUAAAGAUCUGGCAUUGCCAGGAGCUGAGGUCGCAGAUGCAGCUCAGAUCCAGUGUUGCUAUGGCUGUGGUGUGGGCUGGGGAACUUCCAUAUGCUUCAGGUGCAGCCAUAAAAAGAAAAAUUAAAAUAAAAUAAAAUCAAGAUUAACAUACCUGUAUAUCACAUAUAAAUACCAAACAAUACUUUUUUUUUUUUUUUGCUGUGUAGAAGGUAGUUAUUUCUUAUCCCAUGAUCUUCUUAUGCUGAUCAAUAGAUUCAAUAGAUCAUCUUUUUUCUUUCUUUCUGUUGAUGUCACUGAGCUAUGGACAAAAAGUUCCAAGCAAGUUCUGAGAACUCUUAAAAACCCUCAGAACAUCCAUGUAAUGGGAAUGCUAUCAAACCCUAGUUUCAUAGUGGAAAAAAACAGAGAUUCAGAGAGGUCAAUUAACUUGCUCAAAGAGCACACAGCUGGUAAAUGACAAAAGUAGAAAUCAAGCCCAUUCAGGCUGGGUCCAAAAUCUCAUCAUGAUAAACUGUUUCUUCUUCAUAAGUUAACUCUAAUGUUGUAUGAAGGAAAAAUUAGUUCAGGGAACAAAACUAAACAGCUCACUUAAAGAGCCCCUUCUACGUGUCUCAUAAAAGAAUAAAGAGAAUAGAAAAAUAAUCAUUGUACUUGUAGUUCCAGAUGCUGGUAAACUUUUCAAUACUCAUGCAAUUUGUACCUCAGACUAAAUAACUGAAUAUUUCCUGAAGCAAGGAAUUAGUUAUGUAACUUGGCAAUAAUCUGACUACGUGACCCAUGGGGAAAACCAUGGCGUAUGACCUAACUGCCAGAAAGUUUUAAGAUAUAGAGUGAAACUAUUUUUAUUGUUGUUUUAUCCUUCCUGCGUGGAAAAAAAAAAAUGUUUCAAGCUAUUUAUAAACCGUGUUUUCCCUCAAGAGCGGAGAUCACAAAGAUAAAUGCUAGCUGCCAGAAAAGCCACAAAGGAAGGUGAUGUUCUUUAUUAUGGCAUCUGAGAAGAAAAGCUCUCAGGUUGAAACCUAAUAAUCUCCAAUUUCUGAUUCCAAGUCUACUGAGAUGUUCAAACUUGAGUGUGGUCCUUGGUAAAGUACUGAUUUCUGAAAGGUAGCUCUGUCUUGCGGAGGAUCUGAAAUGAGAUCUAGCAGAAAUUUCAUUCCAGUUGAAUGAAAAACACAAAAGGAAGGGUUCUAUGGAGCUCGAAGUCUGCCAGUGAAAGAUUUACUCCAUGUGUGAAAGACUGGAGUGUCUUUCCCAUAGCUGAUUUAUGAAUUGCUUUAUUAAGAAAGUCUUACGUGGUUAAUAUUUAAGUACCUGCUUGAAUAUAGUUAUAAAUUCCUAAGUAGAGAACCCAUAAAUUGAAUAUGAAUGUGCACUCCAAAUUACCUGUCAAAAAAUAAAUUUGUGUUUAUCUAUCUACCUAAUUAUUUCCUAAGAAACAGUAUUAUACCUAAUUUGAAUAGAAUGCUGUUUCUAUUUCAAAAUUUAGAUAUUUCUAAAGAUGAUUAAGUAUUAAUUUACAGGGGAAUUAUUAUACUUCGUUUUGGAAUAAACCUGUCUAAAUCUAUGUCAUGAAAUGUACCCCUUUCAGACAGGAUUACUUUAGUGAUACCCUCUCAUUUUAUGAGAUUUCAUGUGUCAUCACAUAACUGGAUAUGUUACUCUCCGUACAUAGCCUAAUUUCCCACAGUCAUAACUCUUAAACAUUUUUCAGAUUUUUUUUUCAGUAGGACAAAUUUGGUAAGGUUAUCAAAUUAUUUGACUGAUAGACAAAAUUUUAUCUGAACUGUAUCUCUUUUCAAAAAAAAAAAUCAGUGAUGAAAGAUGUCUAUUAUAUAACUCCUCUUGGAUGGAUCCCUCCCCUGUUAACCAACUCAGAUUUUCAGGAAGCUUGAAUUCCUCCAAUUCCAUUUUAAUGCCUUUUUUUUUUUUUUCCUCAUUCUGUUUCAGUGGCAAUGAAGAACAGCUGGCCACCAUCCUCUGUGAUAAUAACCCUCCAUAUAGUCGGAACUAGAGUGGUUUUGGACAUGGUACUUACAAGGCAUCUCCUUGCAAAUGAUGUAACCUAUUUGGUAUUUCACCCUGCAAAUAGCUAAAGAUUCCUUAUAGCCAAGUCGUCCAAUGACUCUCAAAUUUUAGCUCUGUGUAGUAUAAUGCAAGCAUUUUCUGCCUCAUCUAUUCAGGAAUGGCUUUUGAGAAGUUUUCACAAGAAAAUUUAUUGUGUUUCAUUUAUGACAUACAAUGUAAGGAGAAUGGAAUGCUUUUCUGUUAGGAUUUGCAUUGAUAAUGAAAGGUUACCAUAGUGCUGGUCUGCUUUUACCAAAUUUGCCAAAUUCUGAAGGGGAUGCCAAUUAGAAGGCUAUAAUGCUUUUCACUGCAACAGACUGAGACCACUACCUGGUGGUGGGGACCCAUCACUGUUGGCUGGACCCAACUUCUAAUUGGGAAGAAGGCAAAUGCUAGAUUGUACAGUGUUUAUGAAGUGAUACCAACCAUUUCAAGUCAUAGCCACACCCCAAGAAGGCUGAGGAAGUGAUUCAGUCUUUCUUAAGUCAUCUUUUCUAUUAGUAGCAGGGGAGCCAAAAGUCUGAAAACACUCACAUUUUGCUCUCUUUAGGAAAAAACAACAUUGAUUUUAGAGGCUUUUGUUAUGGAGGCCAGGGGGAUUUUUCCCACUGCAGCUCAAAAGAAGCUGGGUUUGGAUUGGAAAGCCAGACAUUUCUUGGCUUGAGUUUCUCACUUGAAUGGGAUUUGAGUGUGCCCCCUCCUCACCUCUCCAACCCCUCAGCCGCUAGAAGCCCCACCUCCUCCCUUGGACCAUAUGGGGAAGCUGGCUCAGUGGCUGUUAUUCUACCGCCUCCAAGUUCACGCAGCUGUUCAUCCCUGCUUGAUGUACCGGUAAUUACAGCAAUGUGCUCUUCUUUUUCCAAUCGUGUAACUUUUUCUAAUAGAAAUUGAUUUGUUUUUUAGCAAUUUCCAUGCCUUUUGUUUCUUAAUAAGAAAGGGUGUCUUGUGGCAUUGAGGGAUUCCAUUUUCUGUUAAAAAACAAACAAACAAAACACCCCACAAAAUUUCUAUAUCAGUUCCCAGCUCCAUAGGAGGGUUCACUGGACAAGCCAAAAUUGAGGAAGGGACUUAAGUGGGUGUAACUAACUUGAUAUGAAUAGGUCAGUUGGGAAACAAAGCAAGUUCAUAGCCCUCUGCACAUGGAGGUGGUGAAAGAGCAUUUUUUAAAAAUGUGAAACUGGGAAAAAUGAAAAAAUACAAAUUGACCUCUGCUUUCAUGAUCCAAAUUCAAUACACUCUCAAAGGAUUUUUAAAACAAAUAUUUGAAGAGUUCUUCACUUAUAUCUUGGUUCUAUUUUUUGGAGCAUGCAAAUUUUUUUGCUUUGAUAUUUGGGAUUGGGUGGGGGACUCCAGCAAUAGGAAGGAAUGCAUCCUUCCCUUUAGCUAAGCCAAGCUCAGAGGCAUAGAUCAAACAUCUGUUUGCUCACACUGUCAUUUCAUCUGUGGAUAAAAUAGAUCAGCCCAGGAAUCUCCACCCUUGUAUCUCCCUACAUGGCACUGGGAAUCACCCCCGCCAACACACACACACUAAUCAUUAAAAUUAAAAAUAAAAUGUUUAAAGCAAUACUUUUUUCAACCCCUUAGAAUAUUUCAUUUGGGGGCACUUAUUUUUAAAAAUUUGUUAAGCAGCAGUUGUAGCAGAAAAUGCCAAGAUAAAUCCCUGUGUGUGGAUAGAAAUCUGAGUUCUCCACAACACACAGAGCUGAUUAGAUCAGUAGUGUUGAUCUAAUCUACUGAUGAGAUAACUGGUGAUCUACAGAUUCAUUUUACUGAAUAGUAGGAAUGAAUGUUUCCUUUAUAUGAAACUUUCAAAAUUUUCAUAUAAAGUAGUAGCAAAAUGAAUAUUUCCUUUAUGCAAAAAUUCAAAAUUUGAUGAAGUUGAGAGGAUGACAGAUUGUGAUUGCAAAUUGGAUAUGCCUCAUUUGAUGUUUGAAAGAUUCAUAAUUUAAGGUUUAGCUAAAGUUAUAAAAUAUAUAUUCUGAGCCCCAAAACUUUGAGUGCUAAAAUGUAUCUAUAUCUUCUUAAGGACGUUAAUUUUAUUACUUGAGUAUUACCUUUAUGCUAAUAAUGACUAGUAACACUAGAAUUGCCAGAAAUCAUCUAUCUUCUCCUAUACUCUUUCCCAUCCCCUAACUCCUUACAAAAUCUUUAGUUUUUUCUUAAAUUCUUUUUCAGAAAUUUUAAUACAUCAAAGUGAGAAAAUGUGAAAUAUUCAAAUUAAAAUUUAGAACUAAAUAAUUUCUAAAUGUGUAGUAAAUUUGGCAAAACCGUUGCUUUCCUCAAAAACCACAGCAGCAGCAUGGCAGCAUUUUUCUUCCUCUGAAGUCUUUGGUUAGAAGCUCCACAUGUGACAAACGACAGUGAGAAAGAUCUGUGCUUCAUUCCUAAUAAAUACAGCACCUGAGACUAGAUCUGAUUUCACCCUGUGGGAAAUCAUGCUUUCUUAUUUUACGGAAAGCAAACAUGUUAGGUUGUGUAUUUAAGCAAGCUUUGAGAAUUAGGGUCUUCUAGAAUGUGUAGCAUGACUCUGAUCCAGGAGUCUAUCCUAGCUCAAAUUCUAUUUCUUUGGCUGAGUACAUGAGUAUCUUCAAGGAGAAUUGUUUUUAAAGCUUUAUGUCAUUUUGAUAUACAUUAGACCAUCAAAGCUGUACAUGUGAUCUGAUGAAUGUCAAAAUAAGCAGUUAUAGGGAAUUCCCGUUACUGCUCAGUGGUUAACAAAUCUGACUAGGAACCAUGAGUUUGCAGGUUUGAUCCCUGGCCUCGCUCAGUGGGUUAAGGGUCCAGUGUUGCCACGAGCUGUGGUGUAGGUUGCAGACGCA
rnacentral:lncRNA from 1 species